rfam:Papio anubis isolate 1X1155 chromosome 7, whole genome shotgun sequence.
GCCAGGUAUGGUGGUGCAUGCCUAUAAUCCCAGCCACUUGGGGAGCUGAGUUGGGAGAAUCGCUUGAGCCCAGGAGUUCGAGUCUGCAGUGAGCAAUGAUCAUGCCACCGCACUCAAGCCUGGGCAACAGAGUGAGAUCCUAUCUCAA